UGCCCUCUUUCCCUUUCCUUCUCUCUCUCCCUCUGAAAGAAAAAAACUAUCACAAAUCAUGACAUAUUCAAAUCGGCACUGAUACUUUCUCAAAUCGGUAGUUCAUGUUGCCUCCUUCACAAAUCAUGACAGAUUCAAGGGUUCAUAUGUGGGUAUCUAUAUAAUCUUCGGUGAAAACAACCGUUUCUUCGGCAUGGAGGCGGUGGAGGAACCGGCUGCCGCCACAUUACUUUCUGGAAACAUGUUUACUUUUUCGUCAUCUGCUACUUCACAGAUGGAUUGUAUUGAUGGAACUUACAUUGACAAGAAGUGCCCUUUCACUGGUGAUGUCUCCAUUAGAGGUCGUAUUCUUGCUGGUACUUGCCACAGUGCGGAAAGGGUUAGGACCAUUAUUGUUCAUCGGGACUACCUCUAUUAUGUGAAGAAGUAUCAGCGUUAUGAGAAGCGCCAUUCAAACAUCCCAGCACACAUUUCGCCAUGUUUCCGAGUGAAAGAAGGUGACCAUGUCACCGUUGGACAGUGCAGGUUUGCUUUACCUGUGCAUCUUUUUAGUUAUAGUUUAUAUGUGCUGCUGGUUUUGACAUGGGGGUGCUUGCUGAGAAACUAAACCUAAACUAUGAAGAUGCUGAAAGGUGGAUUUUGAAUCUCAUUCGAACCUCGAAGUUAGAUGCCAAAAUCAAUACCCAAACUGGAAUGGUUGUUAUGGAACCCAAUCAUCCUAACGUGUAAGUAUAGAAAAUAGUUUUCAAAAUAUGAUGCUUUUAUUUCUACUUUAUGCCAAUUUAUGGAUUAUCUUGAUGUAGAGGUGCCAUUUAACCUAUUUUGUAACGGUUUUAUGUCAGUUAGAUUAAAUUUACAAAUACUUUGAAUGGAUCAAGUUGGAAAACUUACCCAAAACUGAAUGGGUCAAACCUGGCCCAAGCAGUUUGACCUGAAUUAAAUAUUUCUCUGUUUCAAUCAUUUAUCUCGACAUUUUUCAUCUUAUGUUACGCACCUUAAGAUCUUGCAUUUGAAGUUUACAUGUGUACUUUUCUCUUGCAUUUGAAGUUUACAUGUGUACUUUUCUCUGAUUAUCAAUGUAUGUUUGACUUUAUCUGACCCAAAUCUUCCGGUUUAAAUGGAGAAGAUGAUGGGCAUAAAGGGAUGAUGAAUGUGUUUAAAGGUAUGGAAAAGGUCUUUCGUUUAUUUCUCUUAUAAUUUUUUUUUUAAUUUUGGCAUAAAAUACCUAAUCAGUUUGAUUAAGUUGACUUUUUUUAACCAACACUUCCUGUUCUUUCGUUUGGCUUAUUUUUUCAAAUUUGUAGUUAAAAUGAUGAAUUUAGUAUAAAAAGAGUGUCCUUUUGAUCUGGGGUUUUUAAAUUUGUAGUUAAAAUGAUGAAUUUAGGUAAAAAAGAAUGUAUUUCUGGUGGAUUGAAAUGUGAUGUAUAUUGUUGAUGAAUAGAUUUGUUGUCCCCAAUAGAAUCAAAACCUUAGAACUGUAGAGCAUAGAGUGUAGAAUCUGCAUAAAUAUCUAUAUGUUAGUUUUUGCUAAAAAAUACUACUUUUUAAGAUUUGGUAAUCGAAAAUGAAAGUCCUCAUAACGCUUCUGGAAAAUCUGGUAAUACUCCUAUGGAGUCUUCUGUGAGAGAUAUCGCGCACGUCGAACCGCAAAAAGGGGGCUUGGGGUCACAGUUGAAUAAUGGUAAUGACCGGCAACAACAAAGGUAUAGAAGGAAUAAUAGCGGGCCACAUUCAGUGGAGAUGGUUCUUAUCAUCAUGGUUAUGGUGGUAAGCGGGAUCAGGAUCGUGAAUGGAACCAGCAUAGUAGGAACUUUAAUGGAACCAUAGGUUCAGUUUUGACUUGGACUACAUAUGUUUUCAGUAAGGUCCUGGGGCUUAGGCAAGAGCUGUUGUCCAAAAAGCUUGCGGCUUAAAGCUCGCUCAGAUAUAGCUUGGAAAAAACUCGCUCGGAUAUAGCUUGGAAAAAGCUCGCUCGGAUAUACCUUGGAAAAAGCUCACUCGAUAUGGCUCGAUUUAAAACUGAGCCGAGUCGGCUCGACUCGAUUAGAAAGUGAGCCACGCUUAGCUUGGCUCGGGUCGUAACGAGCAGGAUUGGCUCCACACCAGCCUUCAAAUGAUCCAAGCAAAUCCAGGUUUACUGAUAUUUUUCCACAAUGAAUGUAUUUUUAGGGGUGUUUGGAUGUGCAUUUUGGAACUGGUUAUGCGAUAUUAAAUAAUAGCUGAUGAUAGCAGUAGGAAUUAUUGUGUGGAUAUUUUUGUUAAACUAGCAAUGACUAGAUAAUAAGUUGUUUGGCAAUUCUUAUUAUUCAAGUAACUAAUAAU